UGAGCCCUUUUUGUGCCCUGGGCGCACGGGGCCCUACACGCGCCAGACAUGCUGAGGGUCUUCAUCCUCUAUGCUGAGAACGUCCGCACGCCGGACACCGACAUCAGCGACGCCUACUGCUCCGCGGUGUUUGCAGGUCUGCAGAGGGCGAUUCAGAGGGAAACUGAGGCUGGAAGAAGAGAAGUGCCGGUUAGGCACUUCUCCUGGAAGCUGAGCCCAAGUUGGCACUGAGAUAAGGAAACUGAGACAUGAAGAGGUAAUGUAAGAUGCCUAAGGUUAUACACUGGUAAGUAGUGGGGUUCAAGUCUAAGUACCUGGCUCCUGAGGCCCCACAAUAUCCCCAGCUUUAACCACUCUGCUAUCUACCUCUGGCUUUGGCUUGGAUUUACCAAAGACAAGCAAGAAAAGGUGAAGCAGUAGGACUUGAACCCAGGCCUGGCUGAGCCCCUGCUGCCCGCCUCGGCCUGCACAUUGAUUCCUCACAUCCUGCCACACCAUGCGCAUGGUCCUUACUGCUGCUCGCUCACCCAGGCACAGACAUCCUCAGCCCUUAUACUCCGGUCUUGCAGAUGCUUUCUUAUCUCAGGGGGUCCCUGCCCUCUGCCUCACCCUUUCUAUAUCCGUUGGGACCAAUUGGUCACCAGUUGGUACAGGAUGCUCCCUCCAGGCAGUGCCCUCAUUCCAGGCCAGCUCACAGCUCUGACAGGGCUAUGGUGGCUGCCUAAGAUCUGAAAGCCAAGGGUGAGGGCAAUGGUCACGUGGCACUGAGGUGGGCAACCUGUGGUGGGUAUGGCAGGUGCCCUGGGGCUUCCAGAGAGGGGACCAUGUAACUGUGGAUCUCAAGCUUAGCCAGUCCAGGAGAAAGUAAAAGUUGGGUGGGGGGCCUGGAAGUGUGGAUAGCUGGCAGUCUGAGUCAAUCCAGGGGGACAACAGCAUCAAACAAGAGGAGAGAAGGAUUGCCUGCAUCUGAACUCGGGACCCCAGGUCUGCCACUUUCUGGCUGUGUGGCUUUGGGCAAGUCAUUAACUGCUGUAGGUCAGUUUUCUUAUCUGUAAAGUGUUGUACUUGCUUUGGAGGAAUGAUUCUGGAGAGUUUAUGUGUUAGUCCAUAUAAAGCACUCUGAACAUCCUUGGGGUGGGUGGCACCUUUGCCUGAGUUUUGCUUGGACCCGCUGGGCUUGUUUCACUCACUCAGCCUGGCAGGCUGUGCUCAGCUCACAGUACCGGCCGGAUCCCACGUCUACCAAGGGUGAGCCAGGCACCGAGCAGCAAGGGGUGUGUGAGUGAGUGCAGGGUCUGACCCAGGUGAGCACAGGCAUGCCAGCUGUGGUGGGGCAGGCAGCUCCAGGUGCUGGUACCAGCUCUGUGGAGGCUGCGACUGGACCAGGCAUACUACAAGCCGCUUCCACUGCGGCCACCGGGGAAUGCAGUGGUGCCUGGAAACUUGGAGGCACCAGGAACUGCAGAGCCCCAAAAGAGUGUCACAGCCAUGACUCGAAGGGCCCCUAAGGUCUGGGCUCCCUGAAGGGCUGCAGCUUUUCUCUCCUUCUCAUCACCUGAAAUGUGGCAAGUGGGGUUGGGGGAUGGGUCCUUUCAGCUUUGUUUGUGUUACAGCUCUUUUAGUCCUGAGUUCUUGUCCUGUGUCCAGGAAGAAUGAGAUACAUAGACAACUGGAAGGUGAGCAAGGUAGAGAGAGCUUCACUGAGUACGGAACAGCUCUCAGGAGACCCAAAGUGGGGUAGCUCCUUUCUGCAGGCCGGUCCUCCUGAUGCUUGUGCAGCUGUCAUCAGACAGGAGAUGUGCAGAGGGCAGCUCCUCUCCACAGGCAGGUCUCCCCGAUGGGUGGAGGAGACCCAACCCAGAGUGGGUAGCUCCUUCCUGUACCUGGUAGUCCCAACAUCUGUCUGAGUCUGGCUGAGUCCCGGGUUUCUAUGGACUCAGAAGGGAGGAAGUGUGUGCUGUUUGGUUCAUGGGCAGCCAGGAGUGGGCUCGGGGGAAAAGCACCAUAAGUUCUCACUCUCGGCUGAGGAUUCCACCUGGAACUGGCAGCCCAGCCCCCAGGCUUCAGGCCAUUCCUGGCUUGAAGGUGGGAUUUCACUGGGGAUCUGCCCCUUUCUGCCCAGGAGCAAGUCUGCCUCCUACUGCCAUCAGCAUGCCAUCUAGGGCACCAGGCUGUUCGUGUAGAGGAAGUGCUGGUCAAAUUACAUACUUGGGCUUCUUGGCUCAUAAGCUACUACCACACAAACGUACUAGAUGUAAUAUUAAAAAUCACUUGUAUAUCACAAUUCCAAGUUUUAUGCAAUGUUGACAGCUUAUUUCCCAGACAUUUUGCAGAGUUUAUGAGAUUAAAAAGGCAGUACUGAGUCUUUCUGUAGUAAUAGAACAAGAGUUCAGUAUUAUUAUGGAAACACUGAGAUCACUGAAAACUACAAUCAGAAGUUAGUAGCCUCUGUUGUGCUUGCUCAACAGGGAGGAGCCUGUGAGAUCCCUGGGGAAGAACGCGGCUACCAUGCAAAUCGUUCUGCACAAUUAGCCCACACUUUUUAAAAAGACAAGAGAAAUGUUCGUUAUUAAAUAAAUAAGGCUAAAGUGUUUUAUUGGACAGACCUAUUUCCAGGCAUAGAAGGCUGAUUUACUGGGGUGCGGGGAGUUGUGCUCAGAUUUGUUCUUUUCUGUCUGCUCUUUCUCGUCCUAAUCUAUGAUGUUUUCUCCCUUUACAGACCCCCUGUAACACAACAGUUAACUUGACUUUUCUCUCCAAAGCCUCCAACUCAACUUUUAAUGCUCGAAACAUCUAGUGAAGUCUCAGAUGAAGAAAAUGAAGAAGCGAAGGAUGCACCAUCCUCAACUAUGCCAGAUUGGCAUAUAGAUUAUUUUUCCAACCUUUUCCACACCAGGGCGAGAAAGCAGCCUUUACCACCGUAAUGGGAACGAGGGGCUGCAAUGGACCUGCAGAAAUGUGCUUACCAAAAAAGCUCUGAUUCUCCUCUGGUUCUACCCCGACGGUGUAUUUCCUAGGGACUCUCCUAAAAUUUACUGCCCCUAGCCAGACACCAUUUUUCCUGUUUUUUCUUCUAAAAUGUAUUGUGUUUUGUCUAAAAAGUAUAAAAGCAUCCAGUCAAGUGUUAGGACACAGUUAUACAUAGUACUGAUGGUGUCAGAGCAAUUUGCCCCCUUGGUGUUUUUAUGAGGUGGAGAUGUGUCCAGGCAGUGUAUCCUAAUGCCAAAGACCUGGUCUUUUUUCCUCUCCAUGGAAAGCUUCAUGGGGGCCAAUAUUCAACAUCCUUAAAGAACAGAACUUUCAGCCCAGAAUUUCAUAUCCUGCCAAACUAAGCUUCACAACUGAAGGAAAAAUAAAAUCUUUUAGGAACAAGCAAGUACUCAGAGAUUUUAUUACCACCAGGCCUGCUUUACAAGAACUUCUGAAAGAAGCAUUAUACAUAGAAAGGAACAACCAGUAUGAGCCUUUCUAAAAAUAUACCAAAAAGUAAAGAGCAUCAACAUAAAGAAGAAUUUACAUCAACGAAUGGAUAAAAUAGCCAGUUAACAUCAAAUGGCAGUAACCCUAAAUUUAAAUCGACUAAAUCCCCCAAUCAAAAGAUACAGCCAAAAUCUAAUGGUAUAUCCAAAGAUACACAAAGACUCAAAACAAAGGGUUGGAGAAAAAUUUACCAACCAAAUGGAGAGCAAAAAUAAAUAAAUAAACAAAAAGCAGGAGUUGCAAUUCUCACAUUUGAUAAAAUAGAUUUCAAAGCAACAAAGAUACAAUGGUAAAAGGAUCAAUGCAACAAUAAGAGAUCUUAACACCCAGAUACAUAAGACCCAUAACGAGAUUUAGACUCAAUGAGACAGAAAAUUAAUAAGGAUAUCCAGGACUUGAACUCAGAUCCAGAACAAGUAAACUCAAUAAAUAUUUAUAGAGCUCUCCAUUUUAAAUACACAAAAUAUACAUUGUCCACUUUAAAUACACAAAAUAUUGAUCAGCCAUUAUUAAUACCCAUUUUUAGAAUGAAGCAAUAUUCCUGUUCUCUCUCCCUCUUUUUCUUCCUCUUUCUUCCUCUCCUUCUCUCCUUUUUUUCUUAAAAAAAAAAAAAUCCCUAGACACUUAAAUGGUACACUUAGGCACCAAUAACAGUGGCUGUGGGUGGAGCAGGCCUGUACUCAGGCCCCUAGAUGGUGGGAGGUGGUGCUAUCAGGGGUAGCAGAGGGCUGAGCAGGCCUGGGCUGGCCUAUCCUUCAGCCCCGGGACAGUGACUAGAGAGACCUAUCCCUAGAUCCACUGAAGAUGCAUGCAGGUGUACUGUAGCCCCACCACUGGAGGGAGGAAAAAAAAAAAGCCUCAUCAACACUCACCCAAACUGAGACACAAUCUUACACAUCAACCUUAUGUGUAAAACAUAUGAGCAUCAAUUCUGAGUGACUGGAUCAGAAGGACACAGCUUUCACAAUGGAGGGUGGUGGCCUUCGGACUGGGUAACUUAAAAGUUCUCAAGCCAGGUGUUUGCUGUCCCUGAAGAGUUUCAUGAAACAGCAGGGAAAGAUCACAGUCAUCCAUUUGGCUCAUUUUGUUGUCAUCCAGAGUGCCAGCACGACACUGUUUCUUGACAGCAGUGAUUCUGAAACAAGUAGACAUUGCCAAGUGUUGUUCUCUGGUCUCGUGUGAGGACGCAGCUGCAAACUGCACUCAGGAUGGCGGAGCCAUUUGUCCCUUUGGUGUUUCAUUGAACUUGAGCUCUCACUCCAGGAGAAAGCAGAGAGUGUCAACUGGCUGUUUCAGGGUGAAUGUGGGCUGCAAAGGCCUAAUGGACCUGGUAAUGUGGAUUGGUCUCCCAUCAAAGUUCCAUUUAGGUGCAACCUCUAUGAGUUUCUAUUACGAGAAGUCAAGGGGAUCUUUAUGGCUUGCGUGGCCAUACACUUGUCAGCCUAGACUGGGCAACUAAAGACUGGUCUAUCCUGGCACAAGGAAUAUGCCUGGGCUAGGGACACAGGGCACUCUGUGCCUUUUAGAAAGAGUAUGCAAUUGUAGUUUCCAUCCACCAGGAAAAACAUACCUAUCUUUACAAAAAAAACAGACUCUAUCUUUACAAAAAGAGGGCUUGGGCCUGGGAGGUCCAGGCUGCAGGAAGCAGCCUGAUCACACCACUGCACUCCAGCCCAGGUGACAGCGUGAGACCCUGUCUCAAAAACAGAGCAAAUAAUGCAGCACUAAAGAAACAUGCUUAGUUUGAUUUGUUACACCUGUAUGUGUAAUUCGAUCAAACUGAGGCCUCAAAAACAAAGGUAAGAAACAACAUUCAAAAGCGUUUUCUAAACACUUGGAUACAGAGUUCUUUUUCUGAGAAAAGCUCCAUUCCCUGAAAGACAACAGCCAAUAGCACAUCCCUAAAGAAACACACUUGGAUGUCUGCCUUAAACACGUAUCUGAAAACCUAUCAAUGAGGCCUAAAAACCAAGAGCAACAAAAGGUCUUUAAGAACAUGUAUACCACAUACGGUAGGGCUUUUUCACAAUGGGUUUGCCACCAGAACGUAGGUGUCAUGUAAACUACCCCUAAAAGCCAAAAUGGGAAAGGAAAGAAAGGACUCAUAUCAACACCGUCGUCAUUGUCCAUGUAGAUCUGGGAAUUCCACCAUUCCUGGCCAUCUGAUCUACACAGGUGGUGGCCUGGACAAACAAAUCACUGAAAAUGUGAGGAGGAGGCUGCUGAGUUGGGAAUGGGCUCUUCAGUGUGCUGUGUCUUGGAUAAACUGAAAGCUGAGUGUGAAUGUGAUACUACCUUGACCUCUUCCUUUAGAAAUCUGAGACCAGCAAGUACCAGUGACUAUUGUUGAUGCUUCAGGCCAUAGAGACUGUAUCAGCAACAUGAAUACAGGCUCAUUUCAGACGGGCUGUGCUAUUCUGAUUGUUGCUGCUGGUGUUGGUGAAUUUGAAGCUGGUAUCUCCAAGAAUGGGCAGACCCAUGAACCUGACCUUCUGGCUCACACGCUGGGUAUGAAACAACUAAUUGUUGUGUCAACAAUAUGGAUUCCAUGGAGCCACUCUCCAGCCAGAAGAGACAUGAAGAAACUGUGAAGGAAGUCAGCACCUACACUGAGAAAACUGCGUACAACCCUGGCACGUAGCAUUUGUGGUAGCUUCUGUUUGAAAUAGCAACAGCAUGCCGGAGCCAGGAGCUCAUAGGCCUUGGUUCCAGGAUGGAAAGUCACCCUUAGAGAUGGCAAUGCCAGGGCAAACAUGCUGCUGGGAGCUCUGGACAUCUUCCUACCACCAACUGGUCAGACUGACAAGCCCGUCUACAGGAUAGCUACAAAAUUGGUGGUAUUGGUUCUCCCCUGUGGGCUGAGUGGAGAUAAGCAUGACACCACAUGCACCCCAUCCACACUCUGCCCUAGGAGCUUUAGGGUCAUUACUAAUGGGCAGAGGAAUUCUACACCUACAAGAAAACGGUCAAUACCUAUCAUCACAAAAAUUCAAAAAUAUAAAACACACUGAUAGAGCAAACACACAAAUAAGAAAAAGAAAAGACUCAAAUGUUACCACUACAGAAACCCACCAAACCACAAUGGUAAGCAAAUAGAGAGAACGAAAAGAACAAAGAACACAGAAAAUAACCAAUUAAUACAUUGAAAGAAAUGAGCCCUCACAUAUCAACAAUAACUUUGUAAAUGAAUUAAACUUUCCAGUUAAAACAUAUAGGCUGGCUGAAUGGAUUUCCAUUUUCAUUUAGAUUUUGGUCUUUUAAAAUAUUCAUUGUUUUCUUCACAGCUUAAGACUAUUUGAAAAGAUUUGUUUACUUUAAUCUAGGAUAUUCAGUUGUUUUGUAAUAAGAUGGUAGUUCAAGUUAUGAGUCUGCCAUUUUGCUAGAAACAGAAGUCCCUAAGGCGUUACUCUUUCUGUAAAAUUAUUAAUGAAAUUUUGGAGCACCUUACAUACAUUUUUAUUGAAACAUACUUAGGAUGUGUUGCCCAUUGUCCAGCUUGUGGUGCCACAUUUUUUUGUGAGAAGCAGAUUUCUCUGAUUCUUUAAUCGUGAAGCAAUAUGAGUUCCUAAACAGGUAAUAUAAAAUAUUAUUGUGGAUGAUGUCCUUAAUGAUAAAUUUAAGGCACAGGAGAAACGUUAUCUGUCUAGUUGACCUUGGUAAAAGACUAGGGCACAACUUUCAACUUAUUAACAAUGUCUCUGAGGCAGUUAAGAAUUUCGAUCAUCCACGAGGUAAAGAAAUUGAGAGUAUCCUGGCCAACAUGGUGAAACCCCGUUUCUACUAAAAAUUCAAAAAAUUACCUGGGUGUGGUGGUGCGUGCCUGUAGUCCCAGCUACUUGGGAGGCUAAGGCAGGAGAAUUGCUUGAACCCCGGGAGGCAGAGGUUGCAGUGAGCUGAGAUUGCCCCACUGCACUCCAGCCUGGAGCCUGGUGAAAGAGCAAGACUCUGUCUCCAAAAAAAAAAAAAAAAAAAAAAAAUUGAUUACCUUAAUUAAUGAAACAUAAAACUUAAAUUAACCUGAAAAUUAAAGCCAGGCUCCCAUCAGAAACAGAAUAAAGUUAAAGCUCUUAAUUAAAACCAGGAAUGAGGACAUGUUGGCUGCUCACUGAAGGAAAAACUAUGUUCUUAAAUCCAGACAGGCUGACAGUCAAGAUGAAAAGCUAGAUUAUAUACUCAUUAGGGUGAAAAAAAUAAUCACCUCAGUGGCCCAAGGACAAGGCCUGAAUUUUCUGUUAGAGGAAACUGGAUCUAUGCAUGUGCUGUGUUGAGACCUCAUAGUUCUAUAUUAUAGAAAUGGGCAUGUUUGGUUUUCUGGAAGUGUUGCAAGUAUAAGCUAUUUGCAUUUGUUCCUCUGUUUGCCUAGCUUUAUAGGUGUCCACUGAGGCAGUCCAUAUUUGAUGGAUGAUUGAGUCCUGAUUUCUGACAGUCAGCUGACUCUAGUGUUACUGAUCUUAUGGAAAAGCCAAUGCAGUGAGAAGUUUUAAGCAGAAGUUUCAAAUACACAUAGAUCAUAAUUUAAAUAUGUCCCUGUUUUGGUUUUAUUUUUCUUUUCAGCCAAUCCUGAGGCAUAAGAAACAUUUCAAUUCACUGCACAUUCCAAAAGCCUUGCCAUUUAAGAACAAGCCAAAGACCCAAGUGAAGGCAGGCAAGGUGCUGAAGGACAGGCAGAGACCAGAUAUCAUAUGCGGGCCUUGUGAAGGAAGGUCCUGUCACCAACUGACUGCCUGUUUAUAUAGUAAAAUAACACUCUUGGCAGCGCACUUUGCGUUUCUACUGCAACUCAGUUUUUUGUUUUUUUUUUUAAAGGCAAAAACCCAUGUAAUUUUAUUUUUGUUUAAAUUUAACCUUGCCAACUUCUUUCCCUGAACAGCAUUUGUCUUGUUUUGAUACCCACCUACACUUAUAUUAGAAACGUACUGCAAACUACUUAGUGAUUCCACUUUGAAUUUAUAGUCGUACGACUAAGAUGUUUUGAAUAUAAGCCUACCCAUAUGCCAGAUAUAAAUUUCAGGAACUCUUAAUGUCUCUUCUUUUACAGAAAUUCUACCUCUAUCCUGAUGUAAUUAGGUUGAUUAAAAAAUUAAAAGGCUAUGGGCCAGAAAGCUAACUUAUACAAAUACAACAAAAGGAAAAGAUUUUCCAAGUACCUCUAUGCAGUGGAAAAUAUUUCUUUCAAGUACCAAGUCAAUUUCUUCAACUGUACAACGUAUUCUAAUUUGAUGGUUUUCAAAUAUAGUAACAACAAAAUGUAAUAAAAUUAAGACUAAGAAAA